UACGUAGGGGGCUAGCGUUGUCCGGAAUCAUUGGGCGUAAAGAGCGUGUAGGCGGUCCGGUAAGUCCGCUGUGAAAGUCGGGGGCUCAACCCUCGAAUGCCGGUGGAUACUGUCGGGCUAGAGUGCGGAAGAGGCGAGUGGAAUUCCUGGUGUAGCGGUGAAAUGCGCAGAUAUCAGGAGGAACACCUAUUGCGAAGGCAGCUCGCUGGGACGUUACUGACGCUGAGACGCGAAAGCGUGGGGAGAAACAGG
rnacentral:rRNA from 1 species